GUUAGGGUUUAAAUUGGUUAGGUUGCAGUGGGGGGAAACUUCCCUUUCCUUCGGGACUACUUACAAGGUGCUGCAUGGUUGUCGUCAGCUCGUGCCGUGAGGUGUCGGGUUAAGUCCCAUAACGAGCGCAACCCUAUCGUUAGUUGCCAGCAAGUAAAGUUGGGGACUCUAGCGAGACUGCCGGUGUAAACCGUGAGGAAGGUGGGGAUGACGUCAAAUCAGCACGGCCCUUAUAUCCAGGGCUACACACGUGUUACAAUGGUCGGUACAAAGAGCAGCCACUUGGUGACAAGGCGCUAAUCUCAAAAGCCGAUCUCAGUUCGGAUCGAAGUCUGCAACUCGACUUCGUGAAGUUGGAUUCGCUAGUAAUCGCGCAUCAGCCAUGGCGCGGUGAAUACGUUCCCGGGCCUU
rnacentral:rRNA from 1 species